GCACCCCUAGCUCAAUUGGAUAGAGUAUCUGACUUCGGAUCAGAGGGUUGGAGGUUCGAGUCCUCCGGGGUGCGCCA
rnacentral:tRNA from 1 species